rnacentral:tRNA from 1 species
UAAUGGCCGGGAUAGCUCAGUUG